rnacentral:tRNA from 2 species
GGAUCAGUACUCAAGAGGCUGAAGAGGAUAUGUUGGAAACGUAUUAGGGGUUGUAAAAAGGCCCGCGCAGGUUCAAAUCCUGUCUGAUCCGCCA